AUGGCUGCCAAGAUCACCGCAUGCUUUACCUUCCUAAAGGAAGCUCUGAUCCUCCCCACGCUAAACCCCAAGCUCUUCGCGCCCGUGCUCCUCUUCUUUGCCGUCACCGCCUUCCUUGACCCCUUGGUCCACGUCGUGUUCGUCCAGCCUCUCGGCGAUGGCAUGGCCAGCCGUCUCACCGAGAUCAACAACACCGACCCCUCGAGCGCCGAGUACGGCAAGCUCGUGGAGAAGUUCAUGGAGACGGAGGAGAUGAAGCAGGUUGGUAAGAGGAUGCUCCGCAUCACCAUCGCCCAGUUUACCGUCGGUCCGGCGCUCGGCCUCGUCAAGCAGAUCCUCGCCCUCUUCGCGGCCUCCACGACCUACUCCGGCGACCGCUACUCUCUAGCCGGGCUCCUGAGCGAGCUGGUCAGCGGGAGGAUCAGCCUGAAGGGCCCUUCCAUCACCAUCGCCGUCGUCGGCGCGCUUGACUUCGCAGGGGCAGUCCUGGCCGCGCUGCGUUAUCACGUGAUGGGCGGCCGCUCGGGGGUGCUCUCCGUCCAGGGUCUCGUCUCUCUCCUCGCGCACCUUGCCUCCCUGUGCUUCACCGUCAUCGCGCUGGUGGGCGUCGCAGCAUCUGUGGCCGACAGCAGGAAGUGCCGCGGCGUGCGCGCGCUCCGGCAGGCGUGGCGGCUCGUGACGCGGGUGAGGAGGAAGGAGGGCCUCGUGCUGGUGCUCGUGGCAUACCUCGGGCCUACAGUUGUGGCUCCGUUGCACAGGUUCGCUCUUGGGUAUUCCAAGAGCAGCAUGGCGGCGUGCUUGUGCUUGAUGGCCGUGUAUGCUCUUCUGUCUGGCGCGCAGCAGCUAUUCUCCUUGGCGGCGGCCACGGUGUACUACUACCAAGCCAUGGAGAACAAGGAGGAAGCGCUGAUCCUGCCCACGCUAAACCCCAAGCUGUUCGCACCCGUGCUCCUCCUCUUUGCCGUCACCGCCUUCCUUGACUCCUUGGAAGAUGUCGUGUUCGUCCAGCCUCUCGUCGACGACAUGGGCAGCCGUCUCAUCACGGUCAACAGCACCGACCCCUUGGGCGCCGAGUACACCAAGCUCACGGAGGAGACAGAGCCAGGCGGUACAGAGCUCCUCCUCAUCGCCGUCUCCGAGGUGAUCGUCGCCCUGGCGGUCGGCUUCGUCAAGAAGAUCCUCGCCCUCUUCGCGGCCUCCACGACCUACUCCGGUGGCCGCUACUCGCUAGCAGCGCUCCUGCGUGAGCUGGUCAACGGGAGGAUAAGCCUGAAGGGUCCUUCCAUCACCAUCGCCGUCGUCGACGCGUUUGACUUCGCAUCGGCGGUCCUGGCCGCGCUGAUUCCCACUCCCGCCCUGAUGGGCGGGCUCUCGAGGGUGCUCUCCGUCCAGGGUCUCGUCUCCCACCUCGCGAACCACGUCUCCCUCUGCUUCACCGUCGUCGCGCUGGUGGGCGUCGCCGUGUCGGCGGUCGACCGGAGGUGCCGCGGCAUGCGCGCGCUCCGGCAGGCGUGGCGGCUCGUGACGCGUGUGAGGAAGAAGCAGGGAUUCGUGCUGGUGCUCGUGGCAUACCUCGGGCCUACCGUUGUGGCUCCGCUGCACGGGUUCGCUCUUGGGUAUGCCAAGAGGAGCACGGCGGCGUGCUUGUGCUUGCUGGCGGUGCAUGCUCUUCUGUCUGGCGCACAGGAGCUCUUCUCCUUGGCGGCGGCCUCGGUGUACUACUACCAAGCCAUGGAGAGCAAGGAGGUGAUCGAUGCCUUGUGGUUAUGCUAA
rnacentral:rRNA from 1 species